GCAACAGCGUAGUCACAAGGCAAGUCCAGAGAUCAGAUAACCUGAAUCCAAGAGCAAGAAAUACAGGAACAACAAGGCUGGUUGUUGAUUGCAAAGAACCUCUGCAGCUGAAGGUCUUUUAAAAGGCCUCUGAUUCUCUCAGCUGAAACCUAUUAGCUCUCCUCUUGGCUUCUAGCCUGGAAGAACGCCUGAAAGACUCCUUGACCUGCCUUCUCUCCACAGGUCCUAGCACCUGCAGCCUCAAGUCCAUAGAGUCUGUUUCUCCCUCUGUAUCUUCCUGAACCUGCACUGGGACUGCUGAUCCAGGCAACCACAGAUCUGCCUCUGUCUUAGCCUCCUCCAUUUUUUCAGAGUCUGAGUCCUCUGACUGUGCCUCUAAGUCAGGCCCAGGGCAGUCCAUGACAUACAGUAUAUAAGUGGCCCAGGAGGCAGGUCACAUGUGGAUUUUUGGAUUGGUAUGGUUGGAUAGCUUGUGGUUUGGACUGAAUUGAAGCUGUAAGCUGGAGAAGUUGAUGGGAGUUGGCAAGGAGAGAUUGUAAAUAAUUGUACAUAUUACAACUCAAGAUAAAGAACGUCCAAGGACUUAGAAGAUAUCAACUGUGUCUGUGAGAUACUUUAUCAGUGUGGAAAGUGUGCAAUUGUGGCAAUCCAUUAAGUUAAAAAAAUGGAGAAACAGAAGGGGAAAAAAAAAAGAAAAAUAACCUACUUGGGAAUAGUGAGGAGGAGAGGAGUAGAAUCAUGCCUACUUGCAUCACAUGAUUGCCUGCAGAACUGCAGCAGGAGAACUUACACACUUAAAUCCACAGUGCAAAAGCAGAGCAAUUGGGGGACACUGAGAAGGCAUCCUCUGGGAACAGAUGAAUUAUAGACCAGCUACUGGACAGAAACAGCUUCAUGUGAUAAGGAGGAAUGCCCAAGGAGGCAAUGGAACAUAGAUGAUUCUUGCCUUUCAUCUGGAAGCUACUGCCAUCAUUCACAAAUAUCAUCUCUGUGAAAACAGAAGUGGAAGCUAAUGGAUAUGAUAUGAAGAGCUUAGAUUUUUCAUUGUGUGAGUACACAUUUAGCGAAUUUCAGGCUUGAGAGAACAGCAAGUCCAGUGAAGCUAAUAAGAACAAGAACUGCAUUAACAACAUC